rnacentral:rRNA from 1 species
UACGUAGGGUGCAAGCGUUGUCCGGAAUUAUUGGGCGUAAAGAGCUCGUAGGCGGCUUGUCACGUCGAUUGUGAAAGCCCGAGGCUUAACCUCGGGUCUGCAGUCGAUACGGGCUAGCUAGAGUGUGGUAGGGGAGAUCGGAAUUCCUGGUGUAGCGGUGAAAUGCGCAGAUAUCAGGAGGAACACCGGUGGCGAAGGCGGAUCUCUGGGCCAUAACUGACGCUGAGGCGCGAAAGCCAGGGGAGCGAACGGG